rfam:Gossypium raimondii Chr07_contig_194, whole genome shotgun sequence.
UGUUAAAAAUUUUAUCCAUUUGUACUGUUAAAAAACCAACAUGGCUGACAGAAUAACCAUAUAGUGAUAUGUGAUGUGCCAUGUAUACCUCAUGUUGAUUUACAAUGCCAAUUUUUAAUAAUAGAAAUUGAUGGAUUUUUUAAUA